rnacentral:rRNA from 1 species
GAUGAACGCUGGCGGCGUGCCUAAUACAUGCAAGUCGAGCGAACGGACGAGAAGCUUGCUUCUCUGAUGUUAGCGGCGGACGGGUGAGUAACACGUGGAUAACCUACCUAUAAGACUGGGAUAACUUCGGGAAACCGGAGCUAAUACCGGAUAAUAUUUUGAACCGCAUUGUUCAAAAGUGAAAGACGGUCUUUCUGUCACUUAUAGAUGGAUCCGCGCUGCAUUAGCUAGUUGGUAAGGUAACGGCUUACCAAGGCAACGAUGCAUAGCCGACCUGAGAGGGUGAUAGGCCACACUGGAACUGAGACACGGUCCAGACUCCUAAGGGAGGCAGCAGUAGGGAAUCUUCCGCAAUGGGCGAAAGCCUGACGGAGCAACGCCGCGUGAGUGAUGAAGGUCUUCGGAUCGUAAAAAUCUGUUAUUAGGGAAGAACAUAUGUGUAAGUAAAUGUGCACAUCUUGACGGUACCUAAUCAGAAAGCAACGGCUAACUACGUG